AUAUUUAUCUAAUUUUAUUUAUUCAAACAGUCAUAAAAUCUUGUGGCUUUGGGCCUACUGAUAUAUAGGAUUUUUAAAAUGUUUAUUGCUUGUGUUGAGUUUAUCAUGUGGUAUAAACAACUCUGUUUUGUUAAAAAGAAAACUGAAGCUAGAUUUUAAACUGAGAGCAGGAAGUUCUGUACAGACACAGUUUCCUUUCUCAGGAACAGCAGGGCAGCCAGCAUCCAUUAACCCAAUUCCCAUUUUUCCUUUCUCUCUGAGAAGUGCCUCCAAGCUGAACAAGCUGAGGUUGCUCAAAGCCCUCACCCACACCCCACCAUCUUAGCCUCAACUCCAUAGAUUGGCGGGAACAUUCUUUGCCCAGACACAGUUCUCUGCAGCAGGUUCAGUCCCAGGUGACCAUACCAUUUCUAACUUAUCAGUGUUGGUAGCAUGCCUGGAGCUCCGAGAUGAGAAAAGUCACCCUAAUUAUAUUCUCUGAACUUUCGGGACCCACCCCACAGGCCUGCUGUGCUGAAACUCUGCCCCAGCUGGGCACUCCCUGAGGCCACCCCUACUUCUGUUGUCAACUCUGAAAUUUGUUCCACCCUAGCACAGUCCUGCACCAGCCACCCCUCAGCCAUCCGCUGUCCCCGCUGUCCCUUCUCUUCCUCCUGCUCUGCCAGCAGAGUCACCCAGCCUGAGGCUGGUCAGCAAGAAGCAAACUGAAGACUGACUCCCAAAAGAAACUUGCAGUUGAGACGUCUGUAUCAAACAAGACCUUUCAAAUAAUCUUAUGUCCUUAGAGAAGGAUUUAGGUUUCAAAAUGUGUCUAUAUAAUUUAUUUUUUAGUCUGCAAAGAUUAUCAGAUUCAGAUUACUGGAUUCAAAUCUGUUCAUUUCUCUUUCCUUGGAGUUUUUCACAUAUUUUCCUGGGAACAUCCAAUAGACACAGCAAUCUUACAUUGAAAGGAGUGGAUUUCAUGCAUGCAGGUUGACUCCAAAGCUUUGGUAGUACAUGUCACUUACAAAUUGCCCAAAAAGUUUACAGUAAUUUCAUUUUUCUCAAAACUCUAACUCUUCAUUGACUAACAAGUUGCAAGAGUUUGUGGAGUGAUUCUGACUUUGCCCAUAUGCCUAAGGGUUGGGCUUUGUUGGGAAAACUGGCUUUGAUCAAAAAGACUGACUUAGCAACACAACUUUUUAUCCAGAGUUUGUGGGAGAUGCCCAGCAGAGUUACUACCAGAAAACUCUUUAACCUUUAUACAAAGUGGUUUUUGAUAUUAUUUUCCUUCAAAGGUACCUACAUUAAACAGAUGGCAGGUACCAUCUCUCCUUCUACCUCCAAGAUCACUAUUACUGUUUUUUCCUAAAGCUAAUUGGCAGCCAUGUGCAAAGUUAAGUGCAGAACAAAAGCACUUGUCAGUAUUAAAACCCCUCUGAAGAAACAGACCCUUUUCCCACAGAUCUAAACUCAGCCAUGUACAGAAUUCUGAAAUAAGAAAAACAAGAAAAUUCCUUAUGUAAUUGAUCCUAGUAAUAGAUCAAUAAACUGCUGACUGUCCUACACAUGAGAUGUUGUUGGGUCAGGCCAUGUGAACCUCUGAACUAUUUGCCCAAAGAAACAAAGCUGAGCUGAAGGCACUUGCAUUUUUGAAUGAUGAGCUCCAGAAAAGCAGUGGGUACAGUGUGAUCUCCACUGCCUGCUUUGCAUAUAGGAUUGAUCCCAAGUCCAUCCCGGGCCAGCUAAACACUGGAAUCAAGUCUUGGGAGCCCCUGCAAAAUCUGCACCUACCUGGAAAGGCCCCAGAUUACAUAAGCAGAGUGAUCCUGGCCUUUCUGAACCUCUGGGGGACCUGGUCAGUGCUGGGAGCCCUGAGAGCUUAGGGUGCCAUAUACAGGACCAGAAAUCCAGGCUUGUGCUGAGCCUCCAAACCAGAUACCACAACCUGAAAGCUUUCUUCAGGCGCUGAAGCUAAAGAAUGCCUCUAAGCCUGUACCCAGAGCAGCUCCAGCUGGGGUCCCCAUCUGUCCCUGUCACCUCACCCCUCUUUUUUCAUUUGUGUGCUGCCCUGUUUGUAUAUGUAGGUUUGGUCUUCUAAUUUUUUACUAACCAAUAAUUCAAGCUCAUGGUUAGUUUUUAAAUAUUGCAAGAUUUGGGAUUAACACCUGUGGAAAUACAUAUGUAAAUGAAGUUGAAAGAUUAAAGUAAAA